rnacentral:rRNA from 1 species
GACGAACGCUGGCGGCGUGCUUAACACAUGCAAGUCGAGCGGAAAGGCCCCUUCGGGGGUACUCGAGCGGCGAACGGGUGAGUAACACGUGAGUAAUCUGCCCUUGGCUUCGGGAUAACCACCGGAAACGGUGGCUAAUACCGGAUAUGACCGCCCCCGGCAUCGGGUGGUGGUGGAAAGUUUUUUCGGCCAGGGAUGUGCUCGCGGCCUAUCAGCUUGUUGGUGGGGUAAUGGCCUACCAAGGCUUCGACGGGUAGCCGGCCUGAGAGGGUGACCGGCCACACUGGGACUGAGACACGGCCCAGACUCCUACGGGAGGCAGCAGUGGGGAAUAUUGGACAAUGGGCGAAAGCCUGAUCCAGCAACGCCGCGUGAGGGAUGACGGCCUUCGGGUUGUAAACCUCUUUCAGUACCGACGAAGCGCCGAUGAUGGUGGUGACGGUAGGUACAGAAGAAGCACCGGCCAACUACGUGCCAGCAGCCGCAGUAAUAC